rnacentral:rRNA from 1 species
AUGAAGCGCGUUUGGGAGCUUCGAAUCCCUGGUAAGGUCAAGCACUUUCUGUGGAAGGUGAUCAAAGGAGUUUUACCAUGCUAUGGUACCCUAGCAGGACGUCAUAUACCUGUCACGAGGCAAUGUUCGAUAGGCCAUAUAGGUUUUGAAGAUGCACAACAUUGCUUGUUUAAUUGUGAAAGAGCGAUGAAUAUGUGGAGUGAGCUGGGACCAAAGGAAGAAAUUCAGAAAGUUGUACUAGAGGACCGGUCGGUAUCAUUCACCAUGUCUUCUCUCAUGGAUCAACAUGAUACUGUAAGUAAUCUAUCUAUGGCAGAGUUGACUAUUGUUGGGAGCUGGUAUAUUUGGUGGCAGAGGCGGCAAAUGGUCAAGGGGGAGACGAUCUAA